rnacentral:rRNA from 1 species
GCUACGGGAGGCAGCAGUGAGGAAUAUUGGUCAAUGGCCGAGAGGCUGAACCAGCCAAGUCGCGUGAGGGAUGACGGCCCUACGGGUUGUAAACCUCUUUUGUCGGGGAGCAAAGAGAGGCACGUGUGGCUCAUUGAGAGUACCCGAAGAAAAAGCAUCGGCUAACUCCGUGCCAGCAGCCGCGGUAAGACGGAGGAUGCGAGCGUUAUCCGGAUUUAAUUGGUUUAAAGGGGGCGCAGGCGGGGGUGCAAGUCAGUGGUCAAAUGGCGGGGCUCCACCCCGUACUCCCGUUUAAACUGCAUCCCUUGAGUGCGCGAGAAGUCUGCGGUUUGCGUGGUGUAGCGGUGAAAUGCAUAGAUAUCACGCAGAACUCCGAUUGCGAAGGCAGCAUACCGGCGCGCACCUGCCGCUCAUGCAC